rnacentral:rRNA from 1 species
UCCCAGNNNNNGAAUCGUAGGUUAAAAAGGUCUGGGGAAACUGCCUGAUGGAGGGGGAUAACUACUGGGAAACGGUAGCUAAUACCGCAUAACGCUCGCAAGACCAAAGAGGGGGACCUUCGGGCCUCUUGCCAUCGGAUGUGCCCAGAUGGGAUUAGCUUGUUGGUGGGGUAACGGCUCACCAAGGCGACGAUCCCUAGCUGGUCUGAGAGGAUGACCAGCCACACUGGAACUGAGACACGGUCCAGACUCCUACGGGAGGCAGCAGUGGGGAAUAUUGCACAAUGGGCGCAAGCCUGAUGCCCCCUGCCCCGUGUAUAAAAAAAGCCUUCCGGAUGUAAAAAGCUUUUUGCGGGGACAGAAAGAAAAUAAAGCAUAGUCUUUUACUCCUUCACGACCCCCGAAGAAAAGCGUUGUGCUAAUUCCUGCC